rnacentral:rRNA from 1 species
AUUGGACGCUGGCGGAAUGCUUUACACAUGCAAGUCGAACGGCAGCACGGACUUCGGUCUGGUGGCGAGUGGCGAACGGGUGAGUAACAUAUCGGAACGUAUCCAAUAAUGGGGGAUAACGAGUCGAAAGAUUCGCUAAUACCGCAUACGCCCUACGGGGGAAAGCUGGGGACCUUCGGGCCUGGCGUUAAUGGAGCGGCCGAUAUCUGAUUAGCUAGUUGGUGAGGUAAAGGCUCACCAAGGCGACGAUCAGUAGCUGGUCUGAGAGGACGACCAGCCACACUGGAACUGAGACACGGUCCAGACUCCUACGGGAGGCAGCAGUGGGGAAUUUUGGACAAUGGGCGCAAGCCUGAUCCAGCCAUUCCGCGUGAGUGAAGAAGGCCUUCGGGUUGUAAAGCUCUUUCGCAAGGGAAGAAAACUUAGCCACUAACAUUGGUUGAGGUUGACGGUACCUUGAUAAGAAGCACCGGCUAACCACGUGCCAGCAGCCGCAGUAA